rnacentral:lncRNA from 1 species
CAGUUUAAUGUUCCUAAUGCAAUACAUAAGUUUUUUUAGUAUUGCUAAAUAUUUGAUCAAUACCAGGAAGUUGAACUUGGUGACCACCAGAAAUAGAAAGUUCAACUUGUCGACAUAUAAGCCUGGAGGGUGAACUAAUAUUAACUCAUCAGAUCAAUAAAAAGCAGAAAAACACCAUCUAUAACAACAACACAGUCUUGACGUCGCGAGGUAUUUAUACUUAUACCCUAAAAACAAAAAAGACACAAAGAACAAAUGUGAGAGUUCUCCAGUAACUGACUGCUAGUUCAAAGCCAAAAAUACAACUAAUUCAAACAACCAUGUAUCUAGGACUAAUAUAACAAAAUUAAGGAGAUGUGGUAUGAUUGCCAAUGAC